GGCCAACAAUCUGUUUCUCCACUUCAAGUAAGAGUUGAGACAGCAAAUCAUUAUUAUUUUUAUAAUAACAACAGAAGUUCUAAAUUGUCAGUUUAUCCCUUGAACAUACAACUCCUGCUUUUAAGACUUGGAGGAGCUGCUUUUCAAGAGACAACAGGAAAGGAAACUGGAAAUCUCAUCAAAGAAAGAGAGUGUUCUUGGGGGUUCAGCCUUGAAGAUUUCACUUUAUGAGCACAGUUUCCAGUUUGAAGAUCACAGAAAAGCAUUAUCACUUCAAGAUUUAAUAAAAGAAAUAUCCAAGAUAAAUUUCUAAUUGGUUGCGAUCCUUGAAGGAAGUUAAAACAGAAGAUCUGUGGAUGGUUUUCUCCUAAGAAAUCAUUUGCAAUGAAGAUCCUUCUCUUUUUCUCUAUUUCAUUCUUCUUUGAUGUCUUCAUUCUACCAGUGGACUCUAGGUCUGUUGGAAAUACUUUGUCACCACCAAAAGUCACAUGUCUACGGAAGCUUGAGAAACUACACUCAGAGACACAUAAUUCCUCUACAAUAUUUGAAAAUGCACAAUAUGGUACAGAGGAAAAACAGAAAGCUGGAAGUAAAAAGCACUACGCUCUCUUUAAUCUGACACAUGCAUGUAUAAUGUUUGGUGGUCAGUGUAAAAAUAAAUGUGGUGAAAAUGAAUUUAGGAUGGUAUAUUGUGAUGUUUCUACAUCGCUUUGCUGCAUUAGACAAUGUAACCCUAAGAUGUAUAAAUAACUGAAGAGACCGAUUUACAGAAAGAGGAUCAACAUGAACUGUCUUCUCACUACUUCAUUACAUCCAUUACUUCAUUCACAGCUUCAUGUUUCUGUUCAUAAAUCUCUAAUAAAUAAAGGAUUAAAUAACAUACAUUUCAACCUGAACCAUUCAUGAACAUUGUGCCUACUUGGAGGAAAGAGUCAAGAGUACAGACUAGAGCUUUGAACUUGGGAAUAACAAUAGAAUGAGAAAAUCCCAUCAUCGGACUAUGGUGUUAAAUUAAGUUCUGGGGACAAUUCUAUGUUUAAUAUGAAAAGCAUGCUGCCAAUGAUUAGUGAUGAAUAUCAAGCAUUCUUUCAGAAGAGACAAGAGUGGAGAGAGAGUUUAUGAGAGAUGGAAGGUAUGUGUUACCCCUGAACUAGUGAAAAUGGUUGCAAGAACUUUGAAAUGUGGAGUCACUGUAACUUUCUUAGUUAUGCUUUUCCUCUGUUUAUUGAUAGAAUUCUAAAAAUAAAAAUAAUUCAAGUAACAUUGCCUGUCUUUUGAGAAAAAAUAACUCCAAAUGGUAGUAUGGAAGGGAACUAUUUGAAUGAAGAAAGAGAACAUAAAUCUCUGCAGCUUAUGGUAAUAAUAAUAAUAACUUUGAAGUGUUAUAAUUGCAACUUUUUGUUUUGUGUUGUGUUUUUAAGAUAUUUCCUCAUAUCACAUAAUUCUAUCAGCUUGUUAUCAGCAUCUCUAAUCUUAAUAUUUUCCUUGUAUGUACAUAAUUCUAGGAAAAAACAAUAGAAUGUAUAUAUAUAUGCAAACCUAUAUGAUAAGGUAAAGCUAAACACAAGAAUGUGUUGACUGAAGGAUGGCUUUAAAGGGAAAAGGUUAGUAGCAGUCUUACUGCAUAAUCUAGCUUAAAGGGUUUGCCCUUAUUGACGCUUCUAGUGAAAUCUAAGAAUAUUAUCACGGCUGUGUGCUUGGCUGGCAGUCCUGAUUAUAACACAACUUCUAAUGU